GGUACUAUUCACCCUUCAUAUGUGUCGACCACGGUACAACUAGCGGAUAUAUUCACUAAGGCUUUGGGAAGAGACAAGUUUGAAUUUUUACUUCGCAAGUUGGGCAUUUGUAAUCUGCAUGCUCCAACUUGAGGGGGGGUAUUGAAGAUAACAUUAGAGAUAAUGUUAGAAUCCUAAGUUAAAUAUAAAUCCUACUAGUUAGGAUAAUAUUAGAAUCCUAAGUUAAAUAUAAA
rnacentral:lncRNA from 1 species